GAUGAAGAACGUAUUGAAAUGCGAUAAGUAAUGUGAAUUGCAGAAUUCAGUGAAUCAUCGAAUCUUUGAACGCACAUUGCGCCCGCCAGUAUUCUGGCGGGCAUGCCUGUCUGAGCGUCAUUUCAACCCUCAUGCCCCUAGGGCGUGGUGUUGGGGAUCGGCCAAAGCCCGCGAGGGACGGCCGGCCCCUAAAUCUAGUGGCGGACCCGUCGUGGCCUCCUCUGCGAAGUAGUGAUAUUCCGCAUCGGAGAGCGAUGAGCCCCUGCCGUUAAACCCCCAACUUUCCAAGGUUGACCUCAGAUCAGGUAGGAAUACCCGCUGAACUUAAGCAUAUCAAUAAGCGGAGGA
rnacentral:misc_RNA from 1 species